rnacentral:rRNA from 1 species
GACGAACGCUGGUGGCGUGCCUAAUACAUGCAAGUCGAGCGAGACUCUUCGGAGUCUAGCGGCGGACGGGUGAGUAACACGUGGGCAACCUGCCUGUAAGACUGGGAUAACACCGGGAAACCGGUGCUAAUACCGGAUAAUCCUUUUCCUCUCAUGAGGAAAAGCUGAAAGUCGGUUUCGGCUGACACUUACAGAUGGGCCCGCGGCGCAUUAGCUAGUUGGUGAGGUAACGGCUCACCAAGGCGACGAUGCGUAGCCGACCUGAGAGGGUGAUCGGCCACACUGGGACUGGGACACGGCCCAGACUCCUACGGGAGGCAGCAGUAGGGAAUCUUCCACAAUGGACGAAAGUCUGAUGGAGCAACGCCGCGUGAGCGAUGAAGGCCUUCGGGUCGUAAAGCUCUGUUGUUAGGGAAGAACAAGUACCGGAGUAACUGCCGGUACCUUGACGGUACCUAACCAGAAAGCCACGGCUAACUACGUGCCAGCCGCCGCCGUAAGAC